GCACUUGUGGCCAAUCUCAAGUUCUCACUCUGUCCAGAGAGGAAUUACAAAGAGCUGAUUUACUUGCUGACCCACCACAGUGAUUGGGUCUCUUUUUGUGGACCUAUCUUCAGUUCACCAUUUCUUCCCUGGAAGUAGCUGGAAAAGGGAACCACAAAUACAUGCUUGUACCUGGUUAGCCACCAUCUCAGACAAAAAGAAACCAGAUGAAAAAGAGGCAAUGAAUAAAGAAUUUGCAACUAAAACAUCGGUAUAAUUUCUCAGUCUCUCAUUAGUUCUCAGUUUAUCUCAUCUUCUCACUAAGAGGAACAUGACCUAUUUUGGGUGCCAGGUGCAUAUACAUCGUGUGCAUUAUCCCUCACAGAACAAACAUUUGCAGAGUUAGAAAAGGAAAUUAUAGCAUCGUUGUUGAAAACUGUGAAGGGGGGAUACUUCACAGAAGGAAAGCUGGAUAAUAAGAAGUACUUUAAUCCUGAGCGUUGCAUAAAUUCCAUGAAGCUAAGCCAUUCCAAGAGCCAUUCCAUGAGGAAAAAAACAAUUGCUGGGGUUACUGCUUAAAUCUGUAAACAAUUGUUCUUUGUUGGUAUAAAUGUGUGUACAAUCAGAAUUACAGAAUGCAAGAGCUGAAAAAGCUCUAGAAAGUCAUUCUACAUAUAAGCAUAUACUGUAUAGAAAGCUUGGGAGAAAUGCAUCUUUUUUUCAUUUUGUAGGUAUAAAUAUUGUAGAUCAUCAUCACUGGAUAAAUAGAAAUGCCAAGGAAUAAUACAUUCAUAGUUUUUAAUCUAUUGUUUAUUGAAAUUUUACCCUUAUCAGUACAGCUUGCUUGAUUGCUAUGUAAUGAAUGUAAUCUUUAUCAAAGAUGUACAUCUCUUGCUACAUUUCAAGGUUUGGACUAUUAGAAUGUAAGAAAAAACUAUAUGGAUGAUAAAG